AGCCACCAUUGAGGAUUGAACUCGCCACCCCUGGUUUACAAGACCGGUGCUCUAACCACUGAGCUAUAGUGGC
rnacentral:tRNA from 13 species